CCAAUAGCGUAUAUUAGUGUUGUUGCGGUUAAAAAGCUCGUAGUUGAAUUUCGGGAUUGGGAUAUAUCGGUCGUGCCUUUAGGGGCAUGAAUCGGUGUGUGGCCAAUUCUCACUUUUUGGUGAAUUGGGAUGCUCUCGGGUGUUUCAAUGAACUAGGACUUUUACUUUGAAAAAAUUAGAGUGUUUAAAGCGGGCAUUUUUGCUUGAAUACGUUAGCAUGGAAUAAUAAAAUAGGACGAUGGUUCUAUUUUGUUGGUUUUAGGACCACGUAAUGAUUAAUAGGGAUAGUUGGGGGCAUUAGUAUUCAAUUGUCAGAGGUGAAAUUCUUGGAUUUAUUGAGGACUAACUAUUGCGAAAGCAUUUGCCAAGGAUGUUUUCAUUAAUCAAGAACGAAAGUUAGGGGAUCAAAGACGAUUUAUGUACGUCGUGGUCUUAACCAUAAACUAUGCCGACUAGGAAUCAGACAAAGUUAAUUUUUUAACGACUUGUUUGGUACCUUACG
rnacentral:rRNA from 1 species